rnacentral:rRNA from 1 species
GAAACGACUGCUAAGACUGGAUAGGAAAAGUGAAGGCAUCUUUACUUUUUUAAAAGACCUUCUUUGAAGGUAUGCUUAAGGAGGGGCUUGCGACACAUUAGUUAGUUGGCAGGGUAAAGGCCUACCAAGACUAUGAUGUGUAGCUGGACUGAGAGGUUGAACAGCCACAUUGGGACUGAGACACGGCCCAAACUCCUACGGGAGGCAGCAGUAGGGAAUUUUCGGCAAUGGAGGAAACUCUGACCGAGCAACGCCGCGUGAACGAUGAAGUACCUCGGUAUGUAAAGUUCUUUUAUUAAGGAAGAAAAAAGAGUGGAAAAACUCCCUUGACGGUACUUAAUGAAUAAGCCCCGGCUAAUUAUGUGCCAGCAGCCGCGGUAAUACAUAAGGGGCGAGCGUUAUCCGGAAUUAUUGGGCGUAAAGGGUGCGUAGGCGGUUUAAUAAGUCUAUAGUUUAAUUUCAGCGCUUAACGCUGUUGUGCUAUAGAAACUGUUUUACUAGAGUGAGAUAGAGGCAAGCGGAAUUCCAUGUGUAGCGGUAAAAUGCGUAAAUAUAUGGAGGAACACCAGAGGCGUAGGCGGCUUGCUGGGUCUUUACUGACGCUGAGGCACGAAAGCGUGGGGAGCAAACAGGAUUAGAUACCCUGGUAGUCCACGCCGUAAACGAUGAGUACUAAGUGUCGGGUAAAACCGGUACUGAAGUUAACACAUUAAGUACUCCGCCUAAGUAGUACGUACGCAAGUAUGAAACUUAAAGGAAUUGACGGGACUCCGCACAAGCGGUGGAUCAUGUUGUUUAAUUCGAAGAUACACGAAAAACCUUACCAGGUCUUGACAUUUUCUUGCGAAGUUAUAGAAAUAUAAUGGAGGUUAUCAGGAAAACAGGUGGUGCAUGGUUGUCGUCAGCUCGUGUCGUGAGAUGUUAGGUUAAGUCCUAAAACGAGCGCAACCCUUGUCGUUAAUUGCCAGCAUGUAAUGAUGGGGACUUUAACGAGACUGCCAAUGAAAAAUUGGAGGAAGGUGGGGAUUACGUCAAAUCAUCAUGCCCCUUAUGAUCUGGGCUACAAACGUGAUACAAUGGUUGAUACAAAGAGUAGCUGAAACGCGAGUUCUUAGCCAAUCUCACAAAAUCAAUCUCAGUUCGGAUUGAAGUCUGCAACUCGACUUCAUGAAGUUGGAAUCGCUAGUAAUCGUGAAUCAGCAUGUCACGGUGAAUACGUUCACGGGGUUUGUACACACCGCCCGUCA